UGAGGAAUCUUGCGCAAUGGGGGAAACCCUGACGCAGCAACGCCGCGUGAGUGAGGAAGGCCUUCGGGUCGUAAAGCUCUGUCAGAUGGGAAGAAAUGGGUGGGGGCUAAUAUCGUCCAUCCUUGACGGUACCAUCAGAGGAAGCACCGGCUAACUCCGUGCCAGCAGCCGCGGUACUACGGGGGGUGCAAGCGUUGUUCGGAAUCAUUGGGCGUAAAGCGCGCGCAGGCGGGUUGGUAAGUCAGAUGUGAAAUCCCUGGGCUUAACCCAAGAAGUGCAUUUGAUACUGCCUCGCUAGAGUACGGGGGAGAAGAGUGGAAUUCCUGGUGUAGAGGUGAAAAUCGUAGAUAUCAGGAGGAACACCGGUGGCGAAGACGACUUUCUGGACCGAUACUGACGCUCAGGCGCGAAAGCGUGAGGAGCAAACAG
rnacentral:rRNA from 1 species